AUAUUGGACAAUGGGCGCAAGCCUGAUCCAGCAAUGCCGCGUGAGUGAUGACGGCCUUAGGGUUGUAAAGCUCUUUCGCACGCGACGAUGAUGACGGUAGCGUGAGAAGAAGCCCCGGCUAACUUCGUGCCAGCAGCCGCGGUAAUACGACGGGGGCUAGCGUUGUUCGGAAUUACUGGGAGUAAAGGGCGCGUAGGCGGCCUGUUUAGUCAGAAGUGAAAGCCCCGGGCUCAACCUGGGAAUAGCUUUUGAUACUGGCAGUCUUGAGUUCCGGAGAGGAUGGUGGAAUUCCCAGUGUAGAGGUGAAAUUCGUAGAUAUUGGGAAGAACACCGGUGGCGAAGGCGGCCAUCUGGACGGACACUGACGCUGAGGCUCGAAAGCGUGGGGAGCAAACA
rnacentral:rRNA from 1 species